rnacentral:rRNA from 1 species
UACGUAGGGGGCGAGCGUUGUCCGGAUUUAUUGGGCGUAAAGAGCUCGUAGGCGGCUUGGCAAGUCGGGUGUGAAACCUCCAGGCUCAACCUGGAGACGCCACUCGAUACUGCUAUGGCUAGAGUCCGGUAGGGGACCACGGAAUUCCUGGUGUAGCGGUGAAAUGCGUAGAUAUCGGGAGGAACAUCCGUGGCGAAGGCGGCCACCUGGACCAACAUUGACGCUGAGGCACGAAAGCGUGGGGAGCAAACAGG